rnacentral:guide_RNA from 1 species
ACAACAAUAAACUCGUAUUAAGUGAGAGAUGAAGAUUUAAUUAU